rnacentral:misc_RNA from 1 species
GAUGAAGAACGUAGCGAAAUGCGAUAAGUAAUGUGAAUUGCAGAAUUCAGUGAAUCAUCGAAUCUUUGAACGCACAUUGCGCCCCCUGGUAUUCCGGGGGGCAUGCCUGUUCAAGCGUCAUUUCACCACUCAAGCCUCGCUUGGUAUUGGGCAACGCGGUCCGCCGCGUGCCUCAAAUCGUCCGGCUGGGUCUUCUGUCCCCUAAGCGUUGUGGAAACUAUUCGCUAAAGGGUGUUCGGGAGGCUACGCCGUAAAACAACCCCAUUUCUAAGGUUGACCUCGGAUCAGGUAGGGAUACCCGCUGAACUUAAGCAUAUCAAUAAGCGGAGGA